rnacentral:miRNA from 1 species
UCAGGAGGACUGAAGGACCAC